GACGAACGCUGGCGGCGUGCCUAAUACAUGCAAGUCGAACGCUUUUCCUUUCACCGGAGCUUGCUCCACCGAAAGAAAAAGAGUGGCGAACGGGUGAGUAACACGUGGGUAACCUGCCCAUCAGAAGGGGAUAACACUUGGAAACAGGUGCUAAUACCGUAUAACACUAUUUUCCGCAUGAAAGAAAGUUGAAAGGCGCUUUUGCGUCACUGAUGGAUGGACCCGCGGUGCAUUAGCUAGUUGGUGAGGUAACGGCUCACCAAGGCAACGAUGCAUAGCCGACCUGAGAGGGUGAUCGGCCACACUGGGACUGAGACACGGCCCAGACUCCUACGGGAGGCAGCAGUAGGGAAUCUUCGGCAAUGGACGAAAGUCUGACCGAGCAACGCCGCGUGAGUGAAGAAGGUUUUCGGAUCGUAAAAACUCU
rnacentral:rRNA from 1 species